AGAGUUUGAUCCUGGCUCAGAUUGAACGCUGGCGGCAUGCCUUACACAUGCAAGUCGAACGGCAGCACGGAGCUUGCUCUGGUGGCGAGUGGCGAACGGGUGAGUAAUAUAUCGGAACGUACCCUAGAGUGGGGGAUAACGUAGCGAAAGUUACGCUAAUACCGCAUACGAUCUAAGGAUGAAAGUGGGGGAUCGCAAGACCUCAUGCUCGUGGAGCGGCCGAUAUCUGAUUAGCUAGUUGGUAGGGUAAAAGCCUACCAAGGCAUCGAUCAGUAGCUGGUCUGAGAGGACGACCAGCCACACUGGAACUGAGACACGGUCCAGACUCCUACGGGAGGCAGCAGUGGGGAAUUUUGGACAAUGGGCGAAAGCCUGAUCCAGCAAUGCCGCGUGAGUGAAGAAGGCCUUCGGGUUGUAAAGCUCUUUUGUCAGGGAAGAAACGGUGAGAGCUAAUAUCUCUUGCUAAUGACGGUACCUGAAGAAUAAGCACCGGCUAACUACGUGCCAGCAGCCGCGGUAAUACGUAGGGUGCAAGCGUUAAUCGGAAUUACUGGGCGUAAAGCGUGCGCAGGCGGUUUUGUAAGUCUGAUGUGGAAUCCCCGGGC
rnacentral:rRNA from 1 species